rnacentral:rRNA from 1 species
CAGUCGUACCGACGAGAAAUCAGCUUAUCGUGUGUAAACUUGUGGGCGUGCGUGAGUUUCGGCCUCGCUGUUUGCAUGUUUGUGCUCUUUGGGUGUACUUUUUCGUAUGGUAGGCCAACAUCAGUUUCGAUUACUAUAAAAUGACUGGCGGAAUGUAGCUUCGAUUUCGGUUGAAGUGUUAUAGCCUCUGGUAGAUGUGGUGAUUGGGACUGAGGAUUGCAACGAAUAUCCUUUGGGCUUAUCCGCCUGGCCUCUGAAAGUUGCUUAGGUGCUGAAAGUUCGCUCAUGGUUAUCUAAGCUAACGGUUAAUAGGUUAGAACGUGAUUACA